rnacentral:piRNA from 1 species
UAGAUUGUUGGUAGGUUUGGGGAAGGAU